rnacentral:rRNA from 1 species
AGCGAACGCUGGCGGCAGGCUUAACACAUGCAAGUCGAGCGGGCAUAGCAAUAUGUCAGCGGCAGACGGGUGAGUAACGCGUGGGAACGUACCUUUUGGUUCGGAACAACACAGGGAAACUUGUGCUAAUACCGGAUAAGCCCUUACGGGGAAAGAUUUAUCGCCGAAAGAUCGGCCCGCGUCUGAUUAGCUAGUUGGUGAGGUAAUGGCUCACCAAGGCGACGAUCAGUAGCUGGUCUGAGAGGAUGAUCAGCCGCAUUGGGACUGAGACACGGCCCAAACUCCUACGGGAGGCAGCAGUGGGGAAUAUUGGACAAUGGGCGCAAGCCUGAUCCAGCCAUGCCGCGUGAGUGAUGAAGGCCCUAGGGUUGUAAAGCUCUUUUGUGCGGGAAGAUAAUGACGGUACCGCAAGAAUAAGCCCCGGCUAACUUCGUG